rnacentral:rRNA from 1 species
GACGAACGCUGGCGGCGUGCUUAACACAUGCAAGUCGAACGGAAAGGCCUCUUUCGGGGGGUACUCGAGUGGCGAACGGGUGAGUAACACGUGAGUAACCUGCCCUUGACUUUGGGAUAACUUCAGGAAACUGGGGCUAAUACCGGAUAGGAGCUCCUGCUGCAUGGUGGGGGUUGGAAAGUUUCGGCGGUUGGGGAUGGACUCGCGGCUUAUCAGCUUGUUGGUGGGGUAGUGGCUUACCAAGGCUUUGACGGGUAGCCGGCCUGAGAGGGUGACCGGCCACAUUGGGACUGAGAUACGGCCCAGACUCCUACGGGAGGCAGCAGUGGGGAAUAUUGCACAAUGGGUGGAAGCCUGAUGCAGCAACGCCGUGUGCGGGAUGACGGCCUCGGUGUAACG